AUACAUAGGGGGCAAGCGUUGUCCGGAAUGACUGGGCGUAAAGGGUGUGUAGGCGGUUUCGCAAGUUGGAAGUGUAAUACCUAGAGCUUAACUCAGGUGCUGCUUCCAAAACUGCGAGACUUGAGUGUCGGAGAGGAAAAUGGAAUUCCUAGUGUAGCGGUGGAAUGCGUAGAUAUUAGGAGGAACACCAGUAGCGAAGGCGGCUUUCUGGACUGUAACUGACACUGAGGCACGAAAGCGUGGGGAGC
rnacentral:rRNA from 1 species